rnacentral:rRNA from 1 species
AUUGAACGCUGGCGGCAGGCCUAACACAUGCAAGUCGAACGGUAACAGGAAGCAGCUUGCUGCUUCGCUGACGAGUGGCGGACGGGUGAGCAAUGUCUGGGAAGCUGCCUGAUGGAGGGGGAUAACUAAUGGAAACGGUAACUAAUAACGCAUAAUGUCGCAAGACCAAAGAGGGGGACAUUCGGGGCUCUUGCCAUAGGCUGUGCCCAGGUGGGAUUAGCUUGUUGGUGGGGUAACGGCACACCAAGGCGACGAUCCGUAGCUGGUCUGAGAGGAUGAACAGCCACACUGGAACUGAGACACGGUCCAGACUCCUACGGGAGGCAGCAGUGGGGAAUAUUGCACAAUGGGCGCAAGCCUGAUGCAGCCAUGCCGCGUGUAUGAAGAAGGCCUUCGGGUUGUAAAGUACUUUCAGCGGGGAGGAAGGGAGUAAAGUUAAUACCUUUGCUCAUUGACGUUACCCGCAGAAGAAGCACCGGCUAACUCCGUG